rnacentral:misc_RNA from 1 species
GAUGAAGAACGCAGCGAAAUGCGAUACUUGGUGUGAAUUGCAGAAUCCCGUGAACCAUCGAGUCUUUGAACGCAAGUUGCGCCCGAAGCCAUUAGGCCGAGGGCACGCCUGCCUGGGUGUCACACGUCGUUGCCCCCCCAUCUACUCCUUCGGGAUUGCGGGGGGCGGAUGAUGGCCUCCCGUGCGCCUCGUCGCGCGGUUGGCAUAAAUGCCAAGUCCUCGGCGACGCACGCCACGACAAUCGGUGGUUGCGAAACCUCGGUUGCCCGUCGUGUGCGGUCGUCGCGCAUCGAGGGCUCGAAAAAAUUGCCGGGCUCCGGCUCGGCUUUCAACGCGACCCCAGGUCAGGCGGGGUUACCCGCUGAAUUUAAGCAUAUCAAUAAGCGGAGA